rnacentral:tRNA from 1 species
AAGGUCUUAGCUUAAUUAAAGUGUUUGAGUUGCAUUCAAUUGAUAUAGGAUAGAACCCUAUAGGUCUUA